rnacentral:lncRNA from 1 species
UGGUGCCGUUCACUCUCCUAGUUCUUCUCAUUUUCUAAUUUCAAUUCUGCUUCUUAUAAGCCUCAGAGCUUCACUGAGCCCAGGUAAUCGUCUAAUCUUCUUUUAGUUGCAGAUUUUUUAAAUCAACAUUUUAUUUCUCAGGUUUAAUUUUGGGGUAUAAUUUAAGGUGUUGUUUGAUUAGUAUUGUUAUUAUUAUUUUGUGCAUCAGCUCCUCAAGUUUUUCAUCGCGGUUUAUUGGUUUUGGAAAUGAUUAGAUUUGGUUCCUCUAUUUUCUCAAAUUCACGUCUGAUUUGGCUGUGGAUUAUGAAGGGGUUUGUUGGUUUUCAAUUAAUAUUUUAGCUUAUGGGAUAAUUAG